rnacentral:tRNA from 2 species
GCGCAUGUCGGUGGGGUGCGCCGGUUUCCUAAACCGUGCGGGCGCAGGUUCGAAUCCUGCCGGGGGCA